GAUGAACGCUGGCGGCGUGCCUAAUACAUGCAAGUCGAGCGAACAGACGAGGAGCUUGCUCCUCUGACGUUAGCGGCGGACGGGUGAGUAACACGUGGAUAACCUACCUAUAAGACUGGAAUAACUUCGGGAAACCGGAGCUAAUACCGGAUAAUAUAUUGAACCGCAUGGUUCAAUAGUGAAAGACGGUUUUGCUGUCACUUAUAGAUGGAUCCGCGCCGCAUUAGCUAGUUGGUAAGGUAACGGCUUACCAAGGCAACGAUGCGUAGCCGACCUGAGAGGGUGAUCGGCCACACUGGAACUGAGACACGGUCCAGACUCCUACGGGAGGCAGCAGUAGGGAAUCUUCCACAAUGGGCGAAAGCCUGACGGAGCAACGCCGCGUGAGUGAUGAAGGUCUUCGGAUCGUAAAACUCUGUUAUUAGGGAAGAACAAAUGUGUAAGUAACUAUGCACGUCUUGACGGUACCUAAUCAGAAAGCCACGGCUAACUACGUG
rnacentral:rRNA from 1 species